rnacentral:tRNA from 1 species
CCGACCUUAGCUCAGUUGGGCAGAGCGGAAGGACUGUAGUUUGAUUAAUCUAAGGUUGGAAAUCCUUAGGUCGUGGUUCGAAUCCGGCAGGUCGGC